UACGUAGGGGGCUAGCGUUGUCCGGAAUCAUUGGGCGUAAAGAGCGUGUAGGCGGUCCGGUAAGUCCGCUGUGAAAGUCGGGGGCUCAACCCUCGAAUGCCGGUGGAUACUGUCGGGCUUGAGUACGGGAGAGGCGAGUGGAAUUCCUGGUGUAGCGGUGAAAUGCGCAGAUAUCAGGAGGAGCACCGGUGGCGAAGGCGGGAUCCUGGGCCAGUACUGACGCUGAGGAGCGAAAGCGUGGGGAGCAAACAGG
rnacentral:rRNA from 1 species